ACGAACGCUGGCGGCGUGCUUAACACAUGCACGUCGAACGGAAAGGCCCUGCUUUUGUGGGGUGCUCGAGUGGUGAACGGGUGAGUAACACGUGAGUAACCUGCCCUUGACUUUGGGAUAACUUCAGGAAACUGGGGCUAAUACCGGAUAGGAGCUCCUGCUGCAUGGUGGGGGUUGGAAAGUUUCGGCGGUUGGGGAUGGACUCGCGGCUUAUCAGCUUGUUGGUGGGGUAGUGGCUUACCAAGGCUUUGACGGGUAGCCGGCCUGAGAGGGUGACCGGCCACAUUGGGACUGAGAUACGGCCCAGACUCCUACGGGAGGCAGCAGUGGGGAAUAUUGCACAAUGGGCGGAAGCCUGAUGCAGCAACGCCGCGUGCGGGAUGACGGCCUUCGGGUUGUAAACCGCUUUCGCCUGUGACGAAGCGUGAGUGACGGUAAUGGGUAAAGAAGCACCGGCUAACUACGUG
rnacentral:rRNA from 1 species